rnacentral:tRNA from 1 species
AAUGGUAUGACUGAUUAAAGUGGUAGAUUGUAAAUCUAUAUAUAGUUAAUAACUUGCCGUUA